CAGCCGCCGCGGGAAUACAGAGGGUGCGAGCGUUAAUCGGAUUUACUGGGCGUAAAGCGUGCGUAGGCGGCUUCUUAAGUCGGAUGUGAAAUCCCUGAGCUUAACUUAGGAAUUGCAUUCGAUACUGGGAAGCUAGAGUAUGGGAGAGGAUGGUAGAAUUCCAGGUGUAGCGGUGAAAUGCGUAGAGAUCUGGAGGAAUACCGAUGGCGAAGGCAGCCAUCUGGCCUAAUACUGACGCUGAGGUACGAAUGCAUGGGGAGCAAACAGGAUUAGAUACCCCAGUAGUCCCUGUCUCUUAUAC
rnacentral:rRNA from 1 species